UUUAAUGUCACGCCCGGAAUUACACGUUUUUCCGGGCACGCCGACAGACUCGUAUGUAAAGAAAUUUUCUCUGUAUACGAAGCGAUAACUAUACCUGUAAACAAAUUCAAGCUACAACCAGUAGUAUAGAACUGCUAAACUAAACAAACUAUAUAAAUAAAUAUCAGGUUCACUAUACAUACAAAGUCUCUCAGAUACAAAUAUCCCUCGCUCCAGCGAGUAUCUAGCAUAAGUAUAUACAUGAACAAAAAAUUAAAACUAUCUGUAGCUGGUACUCCUCUAGAACUGUAACCAGGGAAG
rnacentral:lncRNA from 1 species